rnacentral:rRNA from 1 species
AUUCCAGCUCCAAUAGCGUAUAUUAAAGUUGUUGCAGUUAAAAAGCUCGUAGUUGAAUUUUGGACCUGGCUGGGUGGUCUUGCCGAAAGGUAAGCACUGCUCUGGUCGGGUCUUUCCUUCUGGGGAACCUGUGUGCUCUUAAUUGAGUGCGCAGGGGAUCCAGGACUUUUACUUUGAAAAAAUUAGAGUGUUUAAAGCAGGCUUACGCUUGAAUACAUUAGCAUGGAAUAAUAGAAUAGGACUUUGGUUCUAUUUUGUUGGUUUCUAGGACCGAAGUAAUGAUUAAUAGGGAUAGCUGGGGGCAUUAGUAUUUAAUUGUCAGAGGUGAAAUUCUUGGAUUUAUGAAAGACUAACUUCUGCGAAAGCAUUUGCCAAGGAUGUUUUCAUCG